GGAGGGCUCGCCUAGUGGCCGAUGGCGGUUGUCUUGAAAACAACUAGGUCGGGAGACCGACCUCGUGGGUUCGAAUCCCACGCCCUCCG
rnacentral:tRNA from 1 species